rnacentral:rRNA from 1 species
CCUAACACAUGCAAGUCGAGCGGUAGAGAGGUGCUUGCACCUCUUGAGAGCGGCGGACGGGUGAGUAAUGCCUAGGAAUCUGCCUGGUAGUGGGGGAUAACGCUCGGAAACGGACGCUAAUACCGCAUACGUCCUACGGGAGAAAGCAGGGGACCUUCGGGCCUUGCGCUAUCAGAUGAGCCUAGGUCGGAUUAGCUAGUUGGUGAGGUAAUGGCUCACCAAGGCGACGAUCCGUAACUGGUCUGAGAGGAUGAUCAGUCACACUGGAACUGAGACACGGUCCAGACUCCUACGGGAGGCAGCAGUGGGGAAUAUUGGACAAUGGGCGAAAGCCUGAUCCAGCCAUGCCGCGUGUGUGAAGAAGGUCUUCGGAUUGUAAAGCACUUUAAGUUGGGAGGAAGGGCAUUAACCUAAUACGUUAGUGUUUUGACGUUACCGACAGAAUAAGCACCGGCUAACUCUGUGCCAGCAGCCGCGGUAAUACAGAGGGUGCAAGCGUUAAUCGGAAUUACUGGGCGUAAAGCGCGCGUAGGUG